rnacentral:rRNA from 1 species
GACGAACGCUGGCGGCGUGCUUAACACAUGCAAGUCGAACGGAAAGGCCCCCACCUUGGUGGGGGUGCUCGAGUGGCGAACGGGUGAGUAACACGUGGGUGAUCUGCCCUGUACUUCGGGAUAAGCUUGGGAAACUGGGUCUAAUACCGGAUAGGACCAUGGUUUAGUGUCUCAUGGUGGAAAAAUUAUUGUUUUGGUGCAGGAUGAGCUCGCGGCCUAUCAGCUUGUUGGUGGGGUAAUGACCUACCAAGGCGUCGACGGGUAGCCGGCCUGAGAGGGUGGACGGCCACAUUGGGACUGAGAUACGGCCCAGACUCCUACGGGAGGCAGCAGUGGGGAAUAUUGCACAAUGGGCGCAAGCCUGAUGCAGCGACGCCGCGUGGGGGAUGACGGCCUUCGGGUUGUAAACUCCUUUCGUUAGGGACGAAGCCACACCUUUUUUGGGUGUGGUGACGGUACCUUUGUUAAGAAGCACCGGCUAACUACGUG